UGUUUUAGAGAUUAUCAAGAACAUAGACCAUGAUCAAUAUCCUUUGAAUCGAGUACUCAUUGAUACAUAAUCGCAGACGAUAAGUAUAAAUUUUUUUUUGUAAAAAUAGACUUGGUCACACUCUAUCAAAUCCGUUUCCGUGAAACGACGUCGGAUGCGUGCAUUUUUGGAUUGCAACGUGAGUUCGUCGAAUUGUGAUCUCAUUUCGAUGAAUAUUCACGAUCGAAGUCGUUCAAGUUUUAGAGCUUGUAAAGAAGAUAAACAUUUUUAAAGAUCAUUUGUAUCGAAUUCUGAACGAUGCAUAAUCGGAGAUGAUCAAUGUGAUUUUGUUUCUAUGAAAAUAGAAUUAGCCACACAGUAUCAAACCCAUUAUAACAAAGAUUAAAUUCACUCCGACGAAGGGACGUCCCCGACGGGGAGAGAGAGAGAGAGAGAGAGAGAGAGAGAGAGAAAAUGUGGUUGUUCAGCAGAGAAGCAACUACUCGGCUGCUCACUAUUCCAUUGUAACAGAAACAUCUGCUAAUCAUUCUGGUGAAAAAAGGGAGCUGGUGUCGAAUAACGGUUCGAGAUUGUCUCAGACCCUUCGGAUCAGUACUACUAAAGCCCUCUAGGUUUGAUUGGUCAAAACAAAGGUUGUUUCGCGAAUGAAAAGAGUGUUGUCCACAAGAAGAUCAUGGAACAGUGGAAAAUCCUCCAAAAAAAGUCUUCCUGAAUCCGUCUACGUCUGAGCAUACAAAGACUGGAUUGACCUACUUUGAGCUGUGAUCGUUGGAACCCACAGGACCCACUACCAUGACUGCCUCUUCUUCCUCGACAUCGCCUUCCCUUCCAAUUACCUGAAUGUCCCUCCAAAAGUCUAUUACCACUGCCCUGGCCUGUGACUGAAUCCCGACCUAUAUGCAAGCGGGUGCAUGUGCUUGAGCCUAAUCAACAAUUGGCGUGGCUACACGAAAGAGAGGUGGACCCGUUCUUCAUCCUCCAUUCUUCAGUUACUGUUUCCAUUCAAGGGCUUGUGCUCAUUGAGAGACCCUACUUCAAUGAGUGAACCUGUGUACACUGACGAUUGGUUUGAGGUCUCUAAAUAAUGAAGAUGACAUCACUUGGUCGUGUAUGACUAUGCUUUUUGUAUUGCAUGAAACGCCCAACAAUUUUCAGGACAUUGUUUCUGAACACUUUCAUAGUCGCGCAUGUGAGACAUUGAACACGGUCGGUGCUUAUGGGGUGGUCGUGCUAUUGUUGGUUGGUAUCAAGCGAUACGAUAGGGUCUAAUUCAUCAUCUUUGGGUGAGCAUGCCGGCUAGUUUUAAGGGUACUACUAUGCACUACUUUUUUCUGGGAACUACUACUUGAGGACCUCAGCUUUCUUGUCCUGAGCCUCGCACGGGUUACGGCGGCAAGGAAGGAAGGAGAGAAGCAUAUGCCAACCAAUACGUUGCCUCAACCGGUGGUGCAAAAGAACACCAAAGAGUGUGAUUUGACUGAGAUCCAGAUUAACUUAAAUUGUGUUACUGACAGGUUUAUAAAUUGAUGGAACAAGAGAGGGUGUGAAGGAAGCCAGAAACGCACUUGGAGUUUUAACUUUUUAGCUUUAGGCCCGUUGAAAUAGGCAGCGAGUCUGUAUCUCUCAACAGUCAACUCUGUUUGGACCAUGUUCACCACCUAAUAUCUUUAUGCUUCUG